ensembl:lncRNA
UCACGUGUCUUUGGCUAGCUGUCCCACAUAGCAGGUGUCACAAAUGUCUGUAGCUCUGACAAGGGAGAGAGACUUUGGCACACUUCAGACUUUUAAAUGGUUCAAUCUAAACUCCUGUGUGUCUAUAAUGUAGAAGGAGUGUGUGCGUAUACCUGAGAAUGGCUUAAAGCAGAGGCUGGGAAGGAGCUGAAAAGAUGAGUAACCUAUAAAAUGGUACUGUGGAACUCCUGAGGUUUACCUUCAAGGGUGUGGAGGGAAUCGAUUGGCAGUCAGUGGUAUUUGGUGUGUGUGCCACACAGAGUGACUCCAGUGCAGUUACUGAGGACAUCCCUUGCCUGAGCAAGCAAGGUUUCUGAAGUUUUUAGGAGAAACUCAGAGGGACGAUACUGGAGAGUGGUGGGGAGGAUUUUCUAAAACUGGUCCCCUAACUGCUGGUCUUGGCCUUGAGUUUUCCUCGCAGCUUCUUAAACAUCACCUUACUUUGCUCUGUUGCCUCUUCUCCCUUUCCUAUCCCCAUAGCUGGACUAGAAUUUUCCUAUAAUUCCCCCUUAAAACAUUCCUGUCUGUGAGCUUCAGGAAACAUGACCAGCUUGUCACACAGGGUCGGGCUUUUUCUCUCAUGUGCUGCUUUCAAAGGAACUUAGCAGGUGACCUGUGCAGUGGGAUGCUGCACAGUGGAGGCCCUUGUGCUGCAUUCGGACCUCUUGGGCAGCAGCCGUCCUGCCAGGAGGGGUUUGCUUCACCGAGUGCUGUGUGGGGAGCUCUGCCACAGCAUCUGCUUCUUCCAGUUUGGGAGGGCAAGUAGCCUGAAAUAUGAGGAAGCUGUGAACAGCCUUCUUGGUGCUGGCUUUUGUUUUCUCUUCCGUAUUGUUUGAGCUGUACAGGCAUCCAAUCCUCAGUAGUGUCUGCGUGUGAUCAGGUUACAGAGCUGUGCUUCCAAAAUGGCCAGAGAGCUUUGCAGAGAGCAAUAUGUGUGCGCAGUUCUGGCAGUGUGGAAGGGAUGAUUCUCAAUGUCACGUCCACUGAAAAUAGUGUUUGCCAGAACCCUGCACUUCUGCUUAGCGCUGCUGCCAGGAGUCUUACCUGUGCUGAAAUGUUUGGUGCUGUAUCUUUGUAUCUCAGAACUCAGGUCCCAUCAGCCUUGUGCUUUCCUGUCAGUCCCCUGGAAUUUUGGAUGCUAGAGGUCUCCAGCUGCCCUCAGAAACCUUCCGUCACCACACAUAGAGCUCUGAAAUCAUACCUACUGAAUCCCAGUUGGGCAAGGCUCACUUGUUGCCUAACAAGAGAUCCGUGUAUGUGCUGGUAGCUUAUGACAUGUUAGGAUGUCUUUUUUUAAAUGCCCCCAGCAAAAUCAUCAGCUGGAAUUUCCAUCAGCUGUUAGAUUCUGAAGUCCCCA